GACGAACCGUGCGAACGUUGUUCGGAAUCACUGGGCAUAAAGGGCGCGUAGGCGGCUUUUCAAGUCAGGGGUGAAAUCCGGCAGCUCAACUGUCGAAGUGCCCUUGAUACUGAGGAGCUCGAGGGAGGUAGGGGUGUGUGGAACUUCCGGUGGAGCGGUGAAAUGCGUUGAUAUCGGAAGGAACGCCGGUGGCGAAAGCGACGCACUGGACCUCUUCUGACGCUGAGGCGCGAAAGCCAGGGGAGCGAACGGG
rnacentral:rRNA from 1 species